ACGGGAGGCAGCAGUGGGGAAUAUUGCACAAUGGGGGAAACCCUGAUGCAGCGACGCCGCGUGAGUGAUGAAGUAUUUCGGUAUGUAAAGCUCUAUCAGCAGGGAAGAAAAUGACGGUACCUGACUAAGAAGCACCGGCUAAAUACGUGCCAGCAGCCGCGGUAAUACGUAUGGUGCAAGCGUUAUCCGGAUUUACUGGGUGUAAAGGGAGCGUAGGUGGUCUGGCAAGCCAGAAGUGAAAACCCGGGGCUCAACCCCGCGGAUUGCUUUUGGAACUGUUGGACUAGAGUGCAGGAGGGGUGAGUGGAAUUCCCAGUGUAGCGGUGAAAUGCGUAGAUAUUGGGAGGAACACCAGUGGCGAAGGCGGCUCACUGGACCGUAACUGACGCUGAGGUUCGAAAGCGUGGGUAGCAAACAGGAUUAGAUACCCUGGUA
rnacentral:rRNA from 1 species